rnacentral:hammerhead_ribozyme from 1 species
GCACUGUUGACGAGUCCCAAGCAGGACGAAACAGCUGUCCAGUGA